rnacentral:lncRNA from 1 species
CCCUUGCGUUUUCCGCCGUCCGUGCUGUUGCUGCUCUUGCCGGCGCCUUUUGGUGACGGCGGUGACUGCGGCGGCGGCUGCGGCCGCGGCGGCGGCAGGCGGGCAAAGACCGCGAAGUCGCGGCCGGUGAGGUCUCGCNNNNNNNNNNNNNNNNNNNNNNNNNNNNNNNNNNNNNNNNNNNNNNNNNNNNNNNNNNNNNNNNNNNNNNNNNNNNNNNNNNNNNNNNNNNNNNNNNNNNCCGCUGCUGCCGCUGACCGGCUCCUCUCCGCCCUCCUCCCCUCCCGCUGGCCUGCACCGGCUGCUCCGCCACCACCGCCGCCGUCUUGUUGGCGUUGCGCCGCUGCGUGUUGAAGACGCCGCCCGCCGCCCCCCGCUCAAACGCCUCCACCGCCUGCUGUAGCUUCGGCGCCAGCGCGCCGUCUGCCGGCGCCUGCCGGCACACCACCAGCGGCGUGAAGCGAUCGCCCGGCGCCACAGGCAGCGGCUCCACCACCGCCGCCUCCACGGCUGCCGACUUCUUGCCCCGGCCCUUGCGCCGGCGCCCGUCCUGGCCCCCGCCCUUGCGUUUUCCGCCGUCCGUGCUGUUGCUGCUCUUGCCGGCGCCUUUUGGUGACGGCGGUGACUGCGGCGGCGGCUGCGGCCGCGGCGGCGGCAGGCGGGCAAAGACCGCGAAGUCGCGGCCGGUGAGGUCUCGCAGCGCGGCGGGGCAGGUGCCGCUGCGCCGCAUGUGCUCGCCCAGGGCCGUGACGGCGUCCAGGUCGCACACGAACACCACCGCAUCGGCGGCCAGCGGCUGCUGCCAGCUGCCCGGGCCCUCAUGCCGCCGCUGAUGCGGUUGGUGUUCCGGUUGCUGCUUCAGCGGCUGUUGCUGUUGCUGCGGUCCUGCGGCCCCGCUGCCCUCGGCGCCGCCUGCAGCACCCCCCGUGAGCACGAAGCCCGCGGCCGCCAGGCGCUCCCGCUCCUGGCCAGUGACCUCCCGACAGUCUUUCAUAGCACUCGCCCGCGCUUCGGACAGGACAAUACAACUUAACACUUGCUACAAUAUGGUAGAUGCCUAUUUGGACAGUGUAACGGAAAAAGGGCUUCCCCUGCACGCAAAUGCACACAUGCAUCGUGCAUGUCUCCCAAUAUCCAAGCAUCGAAGACCCUGACCCCUGGGACCUCUCAUUCUUAACCUUGUCAGCAGAUAUGGCGCACCUAGCAGCCGCGGGCUGCAGCCCCAGCUGAUCCCGCGCAUUGAAAUUCUACGCCACAGAGUUGUAUACGCGUUGGCGCUGCUGCAUGUUGCGUGCCUGGCUCAUACGCUACCAUAUGUAUCUGAGAUGCCUAUUCGGGGGUUGUGCAAGCUUCCGUGUGUGUCCUGACCCGAAUGCGCAUUUGAUUUGUCGCGUUGACACCACAUAUUGUUAUGAGACGCAGCCCAUCCUACUUAUGCAGGCCCCAGUAGGACAUUUCCGUUAUCCCGGCGACUUAGCACGAGGCCGACGUCUCACCGGCAGCAGUAGCGCCGAGCAGAGUGUUAAGAUCCGCCCGCGACCAAGUAAUGGCUCCAUCUAGUCUAUAUGAUUACAUGGAGGGUUCCUGGCGCGCCGGGCGCUCCAAAAAGAGAAAGGUUGCAGAAUUGCUUGGUGAAUUUCAAACAUCGGUCAAAGGCCAGUAAACUAUUCGCCCGGCGCGUCAGGGGUCUUCUAUGAGGUGCCCCUUAUUGGUCUAUGCAAAGAAAUCGGGCCGGGGCCUGGUCGCAACUGGGAAUUGGGGGCGGUUGCCGGCCGUUGCCGAUCACAUGGGCCGAGUUGGCCACCCCGCACCCCUGCAUCUCACACAUCCCAAUUCAACGCAAAACCACCAUCCCAUCUAUUGAAGCGACACCAGCUGGCGCACCGGCUGUGCAUAGCCUCCAGAACUGGGAGUUUGACUCGCAACUACGAAGAAAAGGCUGCGUGGCCCUUAUCCACGCUUGCCCGUAUUAUUAGUUGAGCUUGGCAAGCUUGUGCCUAUUGCUGUUUGUAACACCACACAAGAUGCGCCACGACCCCACUCCCUCUCCCAAUCUCCCAUCUGUCCUCGCUCCCCGGCUUCCACCUUCCCGCCCAGGACGUUAAACCUCCACCACAACCUAGACCACUUAGGCCCUAGAGCUGCACAGCACUUAAGCACGUACCGAGCAUGAAGGGGCAACUCUCAUACCACAAAUUCAACCUGUCCCCGAAGUGGGCUUGCUUGGCUGGUUCUCAAGCGUCCAGCUGAAAGUGCAACGCGUCACCUCCCAUACACCGCGUACCCCCUCCAUCACCCACCGUGCUACUGCGGCGGCGGCGGCGGCCGGUGCAACGCCGGCAGCCAGCCCAUGCCAAAGGGCUCCAGCAAUCAAAUCUCCGCCACAUCCCACGGCGGCCGUAACUGGCUGGCACGGCAGCGCUGCGGUGAGUCCGUGACCCCGGCGCGGGCAACCCAGCCAAGCUUUGCCCGACCCCGUGUCCUCCAUCGUUGUAUGUCACCAUUUCCCUUUGAGGUGGCGACGGUUAGGUGCCCUUGCAAGCCCCGAGGCGACAGACACAACCCAGCCAUGCCCAGGACGUAGCAACUACGGUACUACGGUUGCUUCUCAAAAGCCGGCGGGGCAGUGCUGCCGUGCCCCCUAUGCGAGGAACCCGGGUAACCGCACCAAUCUAAACUGGUGGGUCAGUGCAUGGGCAGCCGCGGGCCCCGGAAGCACGACAGUGGCAACCACUAGCGUUCAGCCUGCAGCCCCGCUUCUCCCCAACAUCUGGUAUUCGGGCCCCAAAUGUCGUGAAGUGCCCAGGCGGUUAAACGCGCGCCUUGCGCGGCUACUUCCGUUGGAUGAAGCAUACGACGACAAGCGGAUGGCAUCAUUCGGCUUUUGGACGGGUUUCUGGCAGGUUCGGUCCGUUACAGAGUGGUGCGCUAAUGCCGUAAGCGCGUGACCUCGCCGCAUCACCGCGCUCACGAACGCCACAAUUGGCAACACUGCGUAACACGCCCAGGUCUGACACUGUCGGUUCCUGUUCCACCCUGCCACCCCUUUAUUUGCGCCUGGCCCCUUCUGCCGCUACCCUGGCGCAAGAGAGCAUGCAAUCAAUCAAGUGAACAAGUUGCUGUCCGCCGCGGCGUGUGCAACAAGCGAGCCCCGCAUGUUCGCAUCCCUGAGAAGCUUCACGACGCCUUUAGCCAGUCCUGCUGAUCGUGUAUCCCACGUGGACGAAGUGUCCCACACACGCACAACCGGUACACGGAUGCCCGCGCUCACGUAAAGACAUCACCCGUACAGCACCCGUCAACGCCGCACGCCAAGCCAUUCACCCCUCACAAACGAUUCGGUGGCAUGCAUGCGUCGCUGCCGUGGGCUUCAUGGGCUCGUGCCCAGCAAGAAGCAGCCCUUUCCUCACCGCAACUGCCCCCCGCCCGGAGCUCAUACAUGGGACGCGCCGUUACAUGUUCGGGGAAUCGCGCGCACCGGCGGUGGGCUUGUGCUGCUCCUCCGCCGGGGGCUCACGCUGCACAGCAGUGGGAGGCAGCUCGGGGCGCUUGGGCUCGGGCUCGUGGCCAUCGCCGGCGGGCUGGACCGCGAACUCCGCCGCCAGCCGGGCAAUCACCCACUCCAGCCAUUGCUUGUCCUUGUCAGCCAGGCCGCUGAUACCAGGGCGGAGCUUCUUGAGGAGGCUCUGCGGACAAGUGCGACAGUGGCGGGUUAUUAGUCUCCCGGACGCACGCACGGGCAACCGGAUUGGCGGGAACCAUGUACGGGGAGCGUCAGCGGUGGGCGCACGCCGCAACAGCGGCUGCCUGCGCGCGCUUGCUGCACUCGAGACGUGUGUGUCACAACAGUCAGCUACAGGCCUACAGCUAGCUGCAUGCACACGCAGGACCACACCCAGCGGAACCCCAGCUCACCAGCCCCUCCUUGCGCGUGAGCGCGCCGUCCACGCCGCCGCCAGUCUUGCCGGGCAGGAUCAUCCGCACCAGCGCCAGCGCGCGGUACUGCCGCGGCGCCAUGGCCAGGUAGCCGCGCGCCAGCACCAGCGCCAGCGUGGGGCUGCUGGCCGGCACCGUGCGGCCCAGCACCUGCUGCCAGGCCGUGCAGGACAGCACCCCGCCGCCGCCGCUGCCGCCGCUGCUGCUGUCCACCGCGUCCUCGCCGACGCCCUGCGCCUCGCCCUCCUCCUCGUCCUCGCCGUCAUCACCCUCGGCACCGGGCUCUGCUUUGCCCGUGAACGCGGCCUUGAGCCCCGGCAUGUUGUCCAGGAAGUCAUCGAGCAGGAAGGGCAUCAGCCGAUCCAGCUCCUCACGAGCCAUCUUGUCCACGGAGCUGCUCGAGCGGCGGGCGCCGGGGUUGCUGGAGGCGCUCACCAUGUCCUUGACGAUGGCGCGAUGCAGCGUGAUGCCACCCUUCCUGUUGCGCAGAUCGGCCAGGCAGGCGCGGACAUCAGCCUUGAAGCGCAGCCAGGCCCGCUCGCCGCCGUCGCCGUCGCCGUCGGCGUCGGCGGCGUCGGCAGUGCGGCGGUCGCCGCUCUCGUCGCCCCCGCCGUCGCUGCCGGUGCCCACCACGGCGGCCAUGGCAGCCAGGUUGUCCAUCUUGGCGGGGUGGUCGGCGAGCGUCUCGGCCAGCAUCAGCUGCAGCUCGUUGAAGCUGACUCCCAGGAUCUCCUCAAGCUGAUUUCACCGGCCAUAUGGGCGGUGGCGCAGGGCGGGCAAGGUUACACGUACGGUAUUAGGACAUUUGUUCAAGUGACGCAAGUACUGGGUGCGUGUGCUUCCAUGCGUGCGUCCCAUAUACUGUGUCACCCCCUAAAGUGCCCAUCUCGGAUGCCGAGACUGCCCACGCCCGCGGAGCUGAGGCGCAUGCUGCUGUGACACACACGAGUGAGUGAGUGCAGCAGGCAAGCACGGUAACCUGUCUGGUGCCGGGCCAAUCGGUGUAUUGUGCGUCACACCGUCCCGCACCCCUUCCUAGGCCACAAACAUACGGAGUCACACACGCCAUCAAGGACUACCAUACUCGCACCUGCAUCAACGCCGCCUUCAGCUCGGGCUCGUCGUCUGCCAUGCCACCCACCGCCAUCAGGAUGCGCCGCUGCUGCUCGAGCUCAGCCUGCAGCAGCGGGAGCACCGGUUGCAUGCAGGUAGUAGCUCACCGUUGGGAAGUAAAACACUCCACCCCUCCCCUGCUUCACAACUGUGUCGCCGGGUGUUGUUGUCCUACAUCGCGCAGCCCCCUAAUGAGGCCCUGACUGAGUAUGAGGCCAAUCACAUGCAGGAUCUCGGGCAGGCCGGGUCAUGGUGGGUCAGGCCCAUGUGUGUAUGUCAACUUACGAUGCGAGUUUUGUUUGUGAUGGCAUCAACACGCGCCCGGCUAAGGUCAUGUUCAAGGUCCUCCUGUAAAUACGGUACACACAUCAGUCACGUGCCGCCUGCUGGAUGGCCGCCCCCCUGCCCCGAGUAUGGGCAUGGCAACGUACGAUAAAGAAGGUUGCGUGCUCAUCAAGUACGACCUCACCUUGAGUUGCUGGCCAAACUCAUAAAGCGCAGAGCUGAAUACACGGAUGCCGCCGCCGGCCUUGCUGCGGGAGGCAGGCAGCAGCGGGCCGGUGGCGAUGGUGAAGGGGCCGGGCCGGGUGACGGACGGCGUGACGCGGCGGCACGCCACGACCGGUCGGGGAGCCAGGGCGCACCCGCUGCUGGCAGCAGCGGAGCGGGCGCUGCGCAGGCUGCUGGAAAGCUGCAUAUUGGAUGGGCGGCUCGAACGGGACGUGGAGUGAGGAGGCAGCACCUGCGUGUGUGUGCGAGUGCGGGUGGUGUGGCAGGGGCGUGCGCGUGUGAACCGGUAUGUGAUGUGACAGCGACAGCGCAACAGCUCCUGCGUGGCUUGAGGCCCUGACACAACAGAAAUUAUGGAAGCCACAGAUGUGGCACCAGCGUUCAAGGGGUUCAGCACACAUAGCGGCAACCCAACGCGGGCGGCAUAUGGGUGCGCUGAGAUGGCAUGGAUGGCCAGACGGGCAGUGAGGCAACUGGUGUACCCUGUGCACAAAUUGAUGUUCCCGCACAUCUCUCAGCCUCGACAUCGCUGCAAAAUCUACCCGGCGCAGCGUGCGCCACCCCUGACUGCAGUUGACGCGACCCCGGUCCAAAGCAUCCCGGCAUCCCGCGCAAACAUCCCUGACGGCAGCCCGGCGCUAACCUGCUCAAGCGUCGCGCGACGGUAGCAGGCUAGACGUGAUGACGUAACCGCGGCCUGGAUGACGUAGGCAGGCAGGGCGCCACAAGCGCAGCAGCGAAGGCUCUGUGCGCCAGGCAGGGCAGGACGUGGCAGGAGGCCAGCAGCGAGGACAGCAGCGGACCACCACGCUUGUGUGUAUGUUGUUAUAUGCAGUCUUCAGUAACAAAGUGGAUUGAGUACUGUAUGAUGACUUUUGGACUGGGCAUGAGGCGAUCCGAUUGUGCAAAUCGAAAAGCUUCCGCAACGGACGGCGGUUGGGCACCGUGCCGAGGGCGCACCAGUAGUGUUUUGCUGAAUUCCGUGUAAGCCCCCAACAGCCUCUAUUGCAAGAACGCAAGUCCUUCGGCAGUCCUAACGCUUCUUCCCGCAGCGGCUGAUGUGACUGGUGAGAACCCUUCGUAACAUGGUUAUAAGGCGUAUGGAGUUCCACUGCUUCUCCUUGCAUAGGACAGCUCCGUUCAUUUGCUGCGCGCCCUCGCCGGGUUGCCGCGGGCACACCAACAGUCACAUCAAGCAAGUUCAGCUCCAGGUCCCCAACUGUGCAUUCUAAAACUGCAAAUAAGUACCAGGAAUGCACUGGGCUUGUGAUGUCUGGCGAACGACGCGGGUCGGCGUUGCAUCGCUAGAAAUUAGAAUCGACGUGUUGUUCCAUGCCUUCCUGCACCGCUUUAUAACCUGAAAGCUUUGCCGAUAAAGGUGUCACGUAGUCGGUUCUGAUGCGUUAUCAGAACACAGGUUACCCCAUCCAGAGCGGGCGCGCAAAAGGUCGCGCAAGCAGGCACCCCUGCGCGCAAGCGAAUGUUUCCGCCGUUGUUCACUGCCGUGUGCCCCUCGCAACCCCCAGUCAACUGAUACAGCAACACACAGCACUAGCUCUGCUAUGCGCAUACCGUACGCGACUAACAUAUGUGAACGCCGCCUGCCAGUCCAGCACACCAGGCAACACACGCCACAGUACGACAGACGCCUCCCACGCACACACCAACCAUCUCACACAUCCCAAUUCAACGCAAAGCCACCAUCCCUUACUCGACACAAAGCUGCAGCACAUGCGGCACCAUGCGGGCAUCUGCUGCGGCCAGCCACCACCACCACCACUGACCGCAACAGCCACCUCCGCUGGGCCCCCAGCAGCACUUGCCCGCUGUCAAGGCGCUUGAACACUGCAACGGCAAGACUCUGCUGCGACCUCUUUCCUACGCCGGGCCCGCGUGCAGGGCCUUAUCCGCGGGCGCGCUUGGCCGACGACACGCCCCGGCGCUCCCCCACCGGCUGCACCGCCACCUCCGCCACCGCCUCCACCUGCUUCCGCUUGCGCUGCUUCACCGCCUCUGCCGGCGUCAACGCCACCAGCUGCUGCUGCUGUGGCUGCCGCACGGCAGCCCCGCGGGCCCGCUGCACCGCGCCCGCCCCUACCGCCACCUCCGCCGCCUCGGCUUCAGCCUGCUUCCGCUUGCUCUUCCGACGCGCCACCGGCGCCACCGACUUGCACCUCUUCUGCCGCUUCUCCGCCUGCAGCGCCGCGGCGCUGCCGCCCAGCAGCUUCCCCGCCGCCUCCGGCUCCGCCUCUGCCUCCAUCCCCUCCUCCCCCAGCCCCUCCGGCCCCGGCAGCUGGACCACAUCCCAGCACCCCUCCGCCUCGCGCACCACCUCCCAGUCGAACAGCGCCUCUGCCGCCUUGUCGCCACACGCCAUAAUGCUGCGCCGCAUCAACGUCGCCUCGCUCGGACUGCCCCGCGGCCGCGGCUCCGCCUCGUGCCGCGCCACCGCCGCCUUGUGCGCCCGGUCCAGCUCCGCCGCCUUGCGCACACGCCACAGCGCGUACGCCUCCGGGUCGCUGAACGCCUUGGGCCGGUUGCGUGUGAACUCCUUCCGCGCGCCCACGCGCCAGCGCUCCACCGCCGCCACCACGCAGUGCCGCACCCAGGCCGCGGAGCCGAGGCGGCGCAGGUCGCCGGACAGGGUGGCGCAGGGCUCGGUGCCGUGCGCCACCAGCCGCGUGUUGAGCAGCAGGGUGGUGCCGUGCAGCGGCGUGAAGCGCAGGUGCAGGUUGCCCAGGCGGAAGGCGCCGCCGCACAGCUCGCCGGCGCCCACCAGCAGCCAGGUGAUGAAGGACAGAGCCGGGUCGUCCUGCGCGCGCGGGGCAGGCGGGCAGGGGGGGGGAGGGAGAGGGGCAGGAGGAGGUGGGUUGGAGGUGCAAAAAGGGUGCGUGUGUAUACCGGUACGUGUCAUGGGGGUUCAAUGUAGUUCCCGUCUUCCGCUCGCCCUUCCCCGCCACCCGCAGCACGCCCCGCGCCUACCUGGUCGAAGUGCACUCGGUUGUAGUAGUUGAGUGUGUAAGACAUGGAGCAGAACGGCCCCGUGCCGGCGCCGUGGUGCCUGCAGGGACCAGGGAGGGGGCCGGAGGGGGGGGGUUAACUUUGAACCUAUCCAGAGGGGUGGGGUGAGAGAGCAGGCGAGGUAGUGGCCGGUGCUGGUCCCAAAGGCCCCAACAGCGGCAGCUGUGGUAGUGCCUGCACCGCCCUUGCGGCUACUACUCCACUCCCCUGAUCCCGGCCCCCGCGGCGCCACUCACUCCCUGCCCCUGCCGUGCUCCCGCAGCAGGGUCAUGUGGCGCGGGUGCUGCGCCUCCAGCAGCGCCGAGGCCGCCGCCAUCACCUCCCGCAUGCGCGCCACACGCGCCGGGCCCUUGGUGGGCUCCAGCAGGUGCGCGUAGCUGAGGCGCGGCGGAGGGGGAAGGAGGCAACAGGCAGGCAGGGAGAGCAGGGAGAGGAGAGGGACAUGGAUCAGGCGUCAAGCUGGAGGGCUUGGGGUUCAAUCCAGUGUAAGCGGCAGAUACGUGUACUUGUGUGCUGUGCGGCCUAGGCCCCCGCAGCUGGAUCAAGUGCCAGUCCCACGUCCGUCCCACGGCAUGCGCCACCCACUCACAGUCCGGGCGCGGCGGUGGGCGUGGUCUUGGCCCACACCAUGCCGGUGGUACCCAGCGGCGGCGGCGCCACCCGCACCUGCCUCAGCUGCCGCUGACCGGCUCCUCUCCGCCCGCCUCCCCUCCCGCUGGCCUGCACCGGCUGCUCCGCCACCACCGCCGCCGUCUUGUUGGCGCUGCGCCGCUGCGUGUUGAAGACGCCGCCCGCCGCCCCCUGCUCGAACGCCUCCACCGCCUGCUGUAGCUUCGGCGCCAGCGCGCCGUCUGCCGGCGCCUGCCGGCACACCACCAGCGGCGUGAGGCGAUCGCCCGGCGCCACAGGCAGCGGCUCCACCACCGCCGCCUCCACGGCUGCCGACUUCUUGCCCCGGCCCUUGCGCCGGCGCCCGUCCUUGCCCCCGCCCUUGCGUUUCCCGCCCUCCGUGCUGUUGCUGCUCUUGCCCGCGCCUUUUGGUGACGGCGGUGACUGCGGCGGCGGCGGCUGCGGCCGCGGCGGCGGCAGGCGGGCAAAGACCGCGAAGUCGCAGCCGGUAAGGUCUCGCAGCGCGGCGGGGCAGGUGCCGCUGCGCCGCAUGUGCUCGCCCAGGGCCGUGACGGCGUCCAGGUCGCACACGAACACCACCGCAUCGGCGGCCAGCGGCUGCUGCCAGCUGCCCGGGCCCUCAUGCCGCCGCUGAUGCGGUUGGUGUUCC